CUCUGUUGUCCUUUGGCUUUUAGCCUCUUCUUGAUCAACUACUUCUUUUGCAAAUUUAACCACUUUCUUCUUUUUGGCUAUUUUUGGAGGAGACACUGGUAAUACUGGCAAAAGAUAAUAAAGUUGACCAGCUAACAUGUUAGAAUUUGGUAGUAGAUGUUGAAUUACUGAAAUUGAUUCAGAAAUUGCAUAUUGGCCAGCAAAUUGUGAUAAUACUUCAUAUACCUUUAUUGGAGCUUUGUAUUCAAUAAUCUUCCCAUCUGUUUUCAUAAUUUUCACAACUUUUUCUUGCAAAACUAUGCAAUUCCCCAUUUUUAUGGUAUGCAAUUUUGUUAAGGAAUUAAGAACUUGAGAAGUGGAAGUAUAGGUUGGUGUAUAUUGAGUGUGGUUUGUUAUUUGGAGCAUAUAGUUG
rnacentral:lncRNA from 1 species